rnacentral:rRNA from 1 species
CCUACGGGUGGCUGCAGUGGGGAAUAUUGGGCAAUGGGCGCAAGCCUGACCCAGCAACGCCGCGUGAAGGAAGAAGGCUUUCGGGUUGUAAACUUCUUUUCUCAGGGACGAAGCAAGUGACGGUACCUGAAGAAGAAGCCGCGGCUAACUACGUGCCAGCAGCCGCGGUAAGACGUAGGGGGCAAGCGUUAUCCGGAUUUACUGGGUGUAAAGGGGGCGCAGACGGCGAUGCAAGCCAGGAGGGAAAGCCCGGGGCCCAACCCCGGGACUGCUCUUGUAACUGCGUGGCUAGAGUGCAGGAGGGGCAGGCGGACUUCCUGGUGUAGCGGUGAAAUGCGUAGAUAUCAGGAGGAACACCGGUGGCGAAGGCGGCCUGCUGGACUGCAACUGACGUUGAGGCCC